rnacentral:rRNA from 1 species
CCAGACUCCUACGGGAGGCAGCAGUGGGGGAUAUUGCACAAUGGAGGAAACUCUGAUGCAGCGACGCCGCGUGAGUGAAGAAGUAUUUCGGUAUGUAAAGCUCUAUCAGCAGGGAAGAAAGACUCGAAAGAGAGAUGACGGUACCUGACUAAGAAGCUCCGGCUAAAUACGUGCCAGCAGCCGCGGUAAUACGUAUGGAGCAAGCGUUAUCCGGAUUUACUGGGUGUAAAGGGAGCGCAGACGGUUAUGCAAGUCUGAAGUGAAAAACCACGGCUCAACUGUGGUCUUGCUUUGGAAACUGUGUAACUAGAGUGUCGGAAGGGUAAGCGGAAUUCCUAGUGUAGCGGUGAAAUGCGUAGAUAUUAGGAAGAACACCGGAGGCGAAGGCGGCUUACUGGACGAUAACUGACGUUGAGGCUCGAAGGCGUGGGUAGCAAACAGGAUUAGAUACCCUGGUAGUCCACGCGGUAAACGAUGAUUACUAGGUGUUGGGGGUCGAACCUCAGCGCCCAAGCAAACGCGAUAAGUAAUCCGCCUGGGGAGUACGUACGCAAGUAUGAAACUCAAAGGAAUUGACGGGGGCCCGCACAAG